CAAAAAGUAGUUUAAAGAAAAUAUAAACUUUGGGAGUUUAUGAUAUAGAAUUCUAUCUUUUUGA
rnacentral:tRNA from 1 species